GCAUAUCAAUAAGCGGAGGAAAAGAAAAUAACAAUGAUUCCCCUAGUAACUGCGAGUGAAGAGGGACAAGCUCAAAUUUUAAAUCUGUUAGGCUUACCUAACCGAGUUGUAAUUUGAAGAGGCGUUUUCUGUGUUUCUGAUCAUCCCAAGUCCUUUGGGAUAGGGCAUCAUGGAGGGUGAGAAUCCCGUUCGGUUGAUCAGAUUCGCUUUACGAUACGUCAUCUAAGAGUCAAGUUGUUUGGGAUUGCAGCUUAAAAUGGGAGGUAAAUUUCUCCUAAGGCUAAAUAACGGCGAGAGACCGAUAGCGAACAAGUACCGUGAGGGAAAGAUGAAAAGAACUUUGAAAAGAGAGUUAAACAAUACGUGAAAUUGUUGAAAGGGAAACGAUUGAAGCCAGUCGUACCUUCGGGUAAUCAGCCUUUCGGGUGCGAUUCUGUGGAGCGUGAGGAGUUAAACGCCUUCAUGCCUGCAUAUUCGUGCACUUUGGGUGUACUUGCCCGUGUGGUAGGUUAACAUCAAUUUCGGAUAUCAUAAAAUGGCUGGAGGAAUGUAGCUUCGGUCUCGUACUGAAGUGUUAUAGCCUCUGGUAGAUGUGAUGACCGGGAUUGAGGAUUGCAACGAAUACCUUUUGGGCUACCCGCCUGAUCUCUGAAAGUUGCUCUGGUGCCGAAAGCUUGCUUACGGUCAUCAAAGUUGACGUUCAAAAGGUUAGAACGGGUUAAAUUCGUUAAGGAUGUUGACGUA
rnacentral:rRNA from 1 species